UUUGUAUUAAUGAAGACUACACAUAAAACCUUUCUGAGGAUUUGUGUAGAUCCGAUAUUUAGCAAA
rfam:Ictidomys tridecemlineatus contig100682, whole genome shotgun sequence.